rnacentral:lncRNA from 1 species
GUAAAUAAGAUUAAAGUACUUGCUAUAGCUAUCUUAAUUUGGCUUUCAAGUCAUUAUUGGAGAUCAAUAUUCAUUCAAGAUUUAACGGCACAAGGCAACCAUGUCCAAAAUUUAUCCCAGUGAGAACAAACGCAAUGAAUUGAAACCGAAAGGAGAUGAUGAUUGCCGUUUACGCCGAGCAUGCUCACUGUGUGGAAGAGAUCAAGCAUGAGCUUCCAAGGCACUGAUGGGUUCACAGUGUUUGAUCAGCAAGGGAGAUUAGUUUUCCGUGUUGAUAAUACUCGCGGAAUCAUCCUUGUGCUGCUUCCGGUCUAGUGCUCAUGGACGGAGCUGGCAAUGCUCUGCUUUCUUUAAAACCCCAGGUAUAUAUACGUGUGUGUGUGUGUGUGUGUGUGUGUGUGUGUGUUGUGCAAAGGCUUUACAACACCGCACUUUAUGAAUCUCUGAUGAAACUUUUGUGCAUGGCUAUGGACAGAUACUGAGCAUGCAAAACCAGUGGAACGCGUACAGGGAAGAGGAUGGAUGUGGAAAGAGCAGUCCGAGGUGUAAAAUUUUCGAUGAGGAGCUCAUCGAUGGCGUUCUUCGGUGGCGGCAAGGAUAAGGCGGAGGUGUUCAUGGGGUCAGCAUCAGGACGAGGUAGACAACAAAGGGGGACGACGCCGGAUUUCAGGAUUGAGGGUUCUUUCAGGAAUCGAAACUGCAAGAUAAGUAAUGCGGAAGGACAAGUCGUGGCCAAGAUUGCGAGGAAGAGAGUCAUGAACUCUACCGUAAUGCUAAGCGACGACGUUUUUAGCUUAGUUAUACAACCUGGUUAUAGCAGUGAGCUUAUUAUGGCUUUUGUAAUUGUACUGGAUCGCAUCUCCACCAAGCCGUAUACUCCUGCUUUGUGUUCUUGAUGACUUUGUACUUUUUUCUUCUUUUUGUGUACAAAAAGCCCACGUAAAUAAUUCAUACAAGUUUUGGAUUUUGCUUCCUUGGCCGUGGCCAAUGGGAAGAAGAGAUAGCUGGACAGGAGUCAUCAAAAGAUUUUGUUCACAAGCAUGCAAUAUUGCGCUUGAAUUGAUGACACGAAUUGUUCAUCUUGUAAAAUAAAUAAGAAAUCAUAUAUUUAAAUUCGAUCAGUAGUCCGGAAUCAAGGAAGAAAUCAUCUGAAUUAAAAAAUGACAGAUUUUCCGUUAUUUUUUUAAAUUUUUGCAUUGCAAUAAUUUUCCUAAUUUCCAAGCUAAUUAAGGGAGUCAAAAUUCGAUUGGCUGAAUAUAGGUGGAGGAAAGAUUAGUUUUGUUCAUAUAUAUGUAAUCCAGGAAUAAUAAUAUCAGAAUUUUUAAAAUAUUUGCCUUUCCAUUGCUUGUGCUCUAUUCAUUAGUGUUAAAUUGUGGAAUUGACAAAAGACAUCUACGCAUUAAGAAUGUGGUCUAGCUACUAAUAUUUCUUUAGCGGCUGGUUAGAAGAUGAAGUGUUAAGAUAGUCGUAUACAAGUCUAUCGCACAGUCAAUGUCCUUCGUCACAGAGGAUGAACAGUAGGUUGGCGAAUCAGAUGGAAAAGCCCAUGUGUUUUUUUUUUUAGAUAAUUCCUUUAUCUGAAUCCUAAACAAAAGUGCUCUUCUCAAUCUCAGCUGAAGAGGAAAUGAGAUCAAAUUGCCAGAUAAAUGCUAAAUCUGUCGUGUUGAAAACGUUAUGUGUCAUUACAUGAAUGCUUGCCAACAAGCAUAUAAACCGGCUCAACUCAACUCUAUCCUAAACUUUUAAUUAUCACCUUGGAACAAAAUUCCAAGAAUCCGGCUCUACAAAAUACAAGUACAGAAUCGCAUUGUAAGACUAACUCAGCAAUUGUAUGAUCUUGAGACUGUUCGUUGCACAAACGCCAACCCUAUUCAGUUAUCCAUAUUGCCAAUACAACAAAAAUCCGUUCUACUUGCAAGUGAUAACUACAGAAAGAAUGAGUAUGCACCCAAUGACCGGCCACGUAUGUGCACCAGAUGAUAUAUCAUCAGUCAAUCACCAGACACAAAAGUCUUGCCCUCAUAGUACCUUUUCUCGCUUGCAUUCUUUUUCUCAUUUCGUUUCUGCAGAAGAAAGAAACACAUUUUCAUUUCUCCGUGGAUUAAACAGAAAAAAACACCAACACAGCAAACAAACAAACAUUAAGCAUUUAAUGGUCAUAGCACCAAACUGCUCAAUGGACGCGUUAGAACAAGCCCAUAACUCCCAUACUAUAAUUUCGAGAAGACAAACCUAUUACGCAUACAACAGCUUUAAACAGGUUGAUUCUCCCAUCUUCAUACAUAUGUUACACUGACUUGCCAACUACUAGAACAACCAUCACAUGCUCCCAAGGUCGGAAGAGCAGUGAAUAGGUCUUUUUUCAGGCACAUAUUAAAAGGCAAGUUUUGCAGAGGGAACUCUUUUCUUUCAGCCAAUAGUCAAGUGGCUCUUUCUUAAAACAUGUGGUAAAAACAUGCUAAGUUGAUCAAGAGCAUCAAAUAACAAGGUUUUGAAGGUAGGUGAACCUGAUAUGCCUCAUGAUUUGAUACAAUCCUCCUAAUUAUCGUGGCAGUAGUAAUAUCGAGUGGACUUUCCAGAACUUUGAAGAUACCCACGCUAAUUGGAAUAGCGUAUGGAUUGCCAUCAUCCUAUAUAACAAAAUAAUCUGUCAGCGAAAAGGUGUAUCUUGGCACCACAAUAAUCAGUGGUCAACUCUUUGUAACCACAUGCAACUAGAAACUUCUACAAAAUUUACCUUCUGAAAAUCAUCGUUCUCAGCUACAGUUCCGUGGACAACUAAUGAUUAAUAAGACCCAUGUCAUGACUUUGACCAGGCAUACUUGAACCAAAGAAGAAGGAAAAUUCUAAGACAUAAUCUAAUUCGAAAAAUGAGCUAGGAAAGUCCACAAGAGUCAAGAUCCUAGAAUUCAACUGAAUAGUCAAUUCUUUGCUUCUUUCCUUCAAGAUAUCUAAUAUUCUUCUCUCCGAGCCUACAGCGAAAAACAUGUUGUUGGAAAAUUUGUUCUUUAAAAGUAUACGUGUUUAUUUAAUUGUAAUAAAUAAUUUUUUUGAUUAAUAAAAUAAAUAAGAAUUUUUCUUUAAAUAUCUUAAUUGCAUUAAUAUUUUGAGUAAAAUCAAUUUAAUCAUAUUAUAUGUAUUUAUGUGAUCAAUAUGUGGAUUCACAAAAGACAUAAAUACAAGUUAUAUUAUGAUUAAAUAAAUUAAGUUUUGCAGUUGAUAAAUAAAGUACUCAAGUUUUGCAGUUGAUAAAUAAAGUUGAGUACUUUAUAUAGGUAUAGACUGUAAUAAAUUCAUUGAAUGAUUUGUCUUAAUCAUGUAUGAAUUUAUUGAUGUAGUCGUUGAGCACUUUAUUUAGGUAUAGUCUGUAAUAAAUUCAUUAAAUGAUUUGUCUUAAUCAUGUAUGAAUUUAUUGAUGUAGUACAACUAUAUUGAACAGGAUCACAAAUGAGAUUUAAUUAACUUUGUAAUAACUGUCAGACUUAUUAAAUCUCAUAGGCAUUGAUUUUACUAUACUCUUAAUCUUGAGUUAGAUAUAAUUUCAUGAUUGUAAUUGUUAUUCCAUUUGAGUUACCAAUGGGCACGACACACACUUGUAGUCAAGAUUACUCGGUAUCUUGGUGGGAGCAAUUAUGAAUAUUGGAAUUAUAGAUUAGCAAUAUAGAAUUUGUACAACACAUCUCUUGAUGAGUUUUCGGCACUUGAUCAUAAAAUUCUUUGGCCAGAGUUUGUCAACAUAUUUAAUAUGUUGAAAAUGAUAAUUAGAGAAAACCAAUAAGUAUUAAGGAACAAGAUGUAAUUAAAUUAAUUGAACAAUUAAGAUAUCAAUUUAAUUAACGAUGUGGUACAAAUGAUUGUACAGUAAAGAAAUCAAUGUGGCAUGGGUCAAAUUAUUAUUCGAGAACACUAUCCUGAAUAACAUACAAUUAUGAAGGUCAAUUCAAAUCUUUUAGAGGAGUAGAUUUUGAAUUAAAUAAUUGGGUUAGUUUAAUUAUCGGCAUAAUUAUUGUACCCACUAUUGUAUGUACUCAAAUGAUCUCCGGGUUAACUCAUUUAAUUGACUGCGUCGCUACUGGAUUAAUAAGUAAGAUAACUAGUUGUUUGGGUUAAAGCCUAAAUAUAUUAUUUAGUGGGAGACUCCAUAAAAUAUGCUUGUGUGUAAGGGUCUUAUGUUAUUUUACAAGGUGGACCCUUAUAACAAGAAGAAGUAACGUUAUUUAUGGUUUUAUUAUUUUUUAAUUUAAAUCAAAUAUGAUUUAAUAGAAUUAAUAAAUUAAUAAAUAUGAAGCCUAGGGUUUCCAUCAAAUAGAGAUAUAAAAAGGAUAUUUUCUCAACAAGAAAAGGUGAAGCCACAUUAUACAGAUUAGAAAAAAAAAAGAUUUUUCUCUAAUUUUGAGAGAAAUAUUUUCUCCUACUAGUUACUUUUUAGUGGUGAUAAAGGCGCCUACACGUCAAGUGCAGAUCAAACGUGAGUCAUAACUUGGAAGAUCAUUGGUGACAGAUCGUGAUCUAACCGGAGUAGUGGUGACAGAUCGUGAUCUAACAGUCUAGAUUACUUUAGCGAAAAAAGUAAAGUCGAAUUGUCAAUGUAUGAUUUUUUAGAUUUUGAAUUCUUAUGUAUUGUAUGAGAUCGAUCUAAAAGUUUUUAUAAAAAUUAAAAAACUGAUUUUUCUCCCACACGUGCAAUGUGUAUAUACAAACUCUCUUGACCAUUUGAAGCUAAGGGGAAAAAAAAAGAGAGAUCAAGUAAUUUUAAUUUUUAGAAAAAAAGAGUUCCCACAAGAUGGAUGUGGGAAUAACCGUCCCACACAAAGAAAAAGACCCCGGUGGGGAUGCCAUCUAGCACAACCACAUCACUGACAGCUAGCUAGUGCUUCCUAAAAAUUAUUAGUAGCAUCCACCAUUUCUAACUUCCAAACAUGCAUCACUCAGAGAAACUCAGACUCCAGCACCGAUUCCUUCAUGGCCAAUGCAUCUUGCACUCUUAUGCAAAGCUAACACAAGUAUUUUAGAUAACCCAGAAAUGAGUAAACUAGAUAUCACCAGAUGUAUAUAUAUUAACUAAUAAUUUCAGGCGUAACUACACUAGUACUAUUAAUAAUAUCUUUCUGAUUUUUGAUUUCUCUGAAUCAAUCAUCCAAUUUUAAUCAAUAGUCAAGAGCUAUGAAUCAACGUUUGAGAAAACAUCUUUACUGAUGAUUUAAAUCAACAUAUAGCCUGACAAUUUAAAUAUCAACAUAAAGCUAAUAACUAGCUUACAACGAGUAACACAAAAUGAAAGAUACUUGGAAGACACAAGGAAAAUAACAAGAGUUAACAGAGAAACUAACCAUGUUUUUAGAAACUUCCCAGGGAGCACCAAUUAUAACCUCAUCAACGUAGCGACAAGCUAAAACACUUAAACUUCUUUCGUGAAGAUUCAUGAUAGGGCGAUGAGCUCCUCUUUUAGCACUGCAGAGCCAUGUGAUUAAGUUUCCAUAACACAUGAUAAAGGUCAGAAACUUCGCUCAAUUUUCUUAGUAUAAAACGACUAUAGAAUCAGGGCAAAGUCUAACAAAAUGAAGGAUAUAGAAGGAUUUUUAAACCUGACUGUUUGAUCAUUGUGUAUCCCAACAAGAAGAAAAUCUCCAAGCCCCCGAGCAAUCCUCAAAAUAUACAACACAAGAUAAUUGGCAAGAAAUACAAAAAUAAGUGUAAAAUAACAGAGAUAAAGAUAAAUUUAAAAAGAAAAAGACAUGAUACAACUUAACCCAUAAUAAAAUAUGCAGUUAUGACACCAUCAAUUCUGAUAAGGAACGUUUGGAUUAAUUAAUUCCGCAUAUGCAUACACACUGGUCAAUAUUUUCUAACCAUCUACCCCACAUGUUUUUAGUUGAUUAAACUAGGAAUUUUUCACAUUCCUUUUUACGAUAUGCAGUUCGUUUUGACUAUAUAAAUUAAUAUAUUUAUGACAUUAAUUAUUAUUUGAUUUUUAUUACCGUUUAUUUAAUCAAUAGAUUAUUUAGAAUACAACGAUCGAUCGACCUAAUGAUGAUGACGCUAGGGCCACUUACCUCCAUAAACUUUCCCCUUCUAAAUAAAAUUAAUUAACACACACACACACACACACAAAAUCCCAUAUGGACUACAAAGUAAUCGAAUUUUCUAUUCCCAAACAUAUUCUAGUGACCCUCUAAUCCUAAUCCUAAUCCUAAUCCUAAUCCAGGUUAAAUUUUGUUUUUAUUCAUGGUGGAUGGUUACCAAAACCACUGCAAUUAAAAUGCACGCGUCUUAUACUGGAUGUGAGUUUCCUUUUAAAGUGACAUUUUAUAACUUUUUUUUCUUAUUUUAUAUGAAGAUUUUUCUAUGAUUUUGUAUGAAAUUUUACCCAAAUAAUAAUCUUGUGAACCCUUGGAUUUAAGUCACCAUUGGUUUAAUUUAGUAUUAUAUAUAACUAACUACUUAAUAAUAAUUACUAUGUAAUAUUGAAGUUGCUGAGUUAUUUGCAGGUUCAUAGAUAUAAUUUUAUUUUUAAGUAAUUAAAAAAUGUUUUCUAAUCACUAAAAAAACAUUAACCAUAAGUGUACAUGAUAAAUAUGAAUUAGAAAAUCUUCAACAACACAUGCAUGUUGAUAGAAUAGUGAUCCCUUUUAUCAUGUAUAAUUGUAACAGUAUAAUUUUAAAUACUUGAUUUUACUCAUUGGCAUUACCCCAAUCUUUACUAAUCUAGCAAGUCUUUGUGAAGAAGCGAGACAAGAUGAAAAAUAUAGAAGUUUAGAUAAACUAUAUUUGUUCGUUGUUAUUAUUUAACCUUAAAUAAAAACUUUUUUGGAUAUCAUUUUGAUUAAAUUUUUAAUUAUUAAAAUUAAAAUAUCAUCCUAACUAAAUUCCAAUUUUAUCAAUCAUUGAUCAAAUCUAAUUGUAUAUAUUUAUAUCGCAAGUGAUACAGUAAUUUUAUAACUGCUAUACAGGGAUGACAUCAGCAUCGUCCGCAACGAGUUUACUGUUACCACCCACACCCGCACCCGUUGUGGGUUUUAAUUUUUUAGAAAAAUCAACUUGCUACGGGUUUUGAUAAUUACCAAACCUGCAAUGGUACCCAGAGGAUUCUCACAUUUAAAAUCACAAAUGUACAAUAUGUAAAUUUUAUAUUAAUAACCUGAAAUUCCACAAUUCUAAAUUUAUCAAUGUAAAUAGAAAAUUAAAAUUUCAACAUUAAUUCAACAUAAACUCUCAAAUUUAAGUAUGAAAUAUAUAAAUCCAUUAAAAAAAAACCACAAAUGUAAUGAAAAAUUCAUGGGUUUGCGGCUGCGGAUCACGGGUGAAAGGGAAAUGGGUGUGCGGCUGUUGCUCACAGGUGAAAGGGAAAUAGUUUGGAAGGCUAGGCUUUGCGGCUGCCGCUUAUAAGUGAAAAUGAAAUAGUUUGGGUUUCCUUUAGGUUGGGUUAUGAGUUACAACUUACACACACCACACAUGACAUGUUUACACUUUACAUUUAUUUAAUUUAUAUAUUUUUAGAUUUAAUUAUUUUUUUAUUUAAAAUUACAUUGAAAAUAUUUGAGAAAAAAAAACUGCGGGUUUGGCGGAUAUCCCUGCGGCUAUCCAUCGGAUAUUUAGCUAAUACCAAACUCAGCCGCAACGUAAUGUGGGGUUCAAUUUUUAAUACUAAACUCGCCCACAACCUAUAAAAUUACCCACAACGGGCGAAUUUUGACAGGUGAAUUUAGACAAAUUUACGGGUGCCAUUGCCAUCCCUACUGUAGUAUUAAAAAAUGACCCCUUAUAUAUAGAAAUAUAUCCUAGUACGGGCUACAGACAGUGACCUAAUUAGAGGAGUGCUUAUAUUUUAAUUUCAUGGAGAAAAUGAUACCACGUAGAUUAACCAAAUCAAAUAAAUUCAACUCGGUGGUUAGACGAGUUAGUGCUUUGAUGACUCAAAACCGAGGGCACUAAGCCAAGUUGGACGAUUAAUUAACAAUUAAAUCAAUAUUUUAGAGGCACUAAUACUCGUUUCCACAUGGUUAAUGUUGGAAAAAAAGACCUUGGGUGUGAUUGACCAUCUGUCAUUCAAACCCUUAUCUCGCUUGUUUUCAUUCAUAAGAUUUCACGUAGAGGAAUCAAACAUGACUACAACUGUUAUCGCUUCAUGCUUAUGGAGGGUAUCAUUGAAUUCUUCGAGUAGCGACAAGCAGCUAAAAAACAACCGAUUAAUAAGCUUUUACGCAUUCAACUAAAAAGCCCACAUGAAAUAUUAGGCACAUAGUGGGUACUAGGUCUCCCGCCGCUAGCUUUGAAUUAAAUUCCCCUUUUGCGAGCAAGUUGAGAGCUAAAUUUUCAUCGUCACGACAAAUUAUUGGUCACAUGAAUGCAAGGUCUAAGAAGCUUCUAUUGACCAUAAAAUCUUCUCACAAUUUAUUAAUUAAGAAAAUAACUGCAGUACUAUAUUGUUUGGUACAACAUUUUUAUUCUCUCUCUUCUACUUCUCUUGAAGAAAUUAAAAUUUUAAAUUUUAAAAGAAUCCCCAAACUUAAAAUAUAUUAUGUAUAAUAUCAAUGGGGGUUUCAAAAAUGUGUAUAAUUGGAUUGUAUAAAAAAAAAUAGAGAUUUUAGUGCGGUAUAGAAUUUUAAAAACUGGAUAUAAGAAUUUACUCCUAAAAUAAUUUUUAUGAAUAGAAUUCACAUAAGUAAUUUUGAGUUUAAUAGAUAUAAGACUGAUUAAAUCUCAACCAUUCAAUAUUAGUAUUAAUAGCACUUAAUCAUAAGAAGAUACUAAUUCUUUGAAUUCAUCUAUCUAUUUAUUAGAGGAUUACACAUUACUCGCAAGAGUACUAAGCAAGAUUCGGUGGGUAAAGAAAAAUAAAAACCAUUUGGCAAUUUGAAAUAUAUAUAUAGCAUAUAUAAGACAUAAAGGUCCUGGCCUACUGCCUAUGCAUGUAGGUCGUGAAUCUUGUGACUUUAGAAGUCUACUUAUGAUGUUUGGUAGUGGCUACACACGGGGGAAUAAACGAAAAUGAUGAUUUUCCUUUUCCUUAAUUCCUAGACCGCCAACUUUUUUGCGUGCCCCCAACACAACUUAUAUAAACUAAAAUCAUGUGUACGCAUAACAAGCAAAAGCAGGAGCAGCAUAAAAACUAGAUAACAACCCACUUCGCAAAAAGGAGGCGCGUCCCAUUAAUAAUCAAAUUAAUUGUACAUAUAUUAAGAUAAUUAUAACUCAUUUAUGUCGGUAUCUUAAAUACCAAUUCAUGGAUUGGUGGUGAUGAAUAAUUUAAAGAAAAAAUUAAACCAGGUCACUGAUAGCUGCAUAAAGCUGGGGGCCUGGGGAAUUAAUUGUGUAAGCCACCAACGGAGACAUAACAUCCGAGACAAAGGAACUCUCGUUCCACGCACGUCUCUCUCUUUCUCUAUAUAUAUAUACAUGUAAAUAAGAUUAAAGUACUUGCUAUAGCUAUCUUAAUUUGGCUUUCAAGUCAUUAUUGGAGAUCAAUAUUCAUUCAGAUUUAACGGCACAAGGCAACCAUGUCCAAAAUUUUAUCCCAGUGAGAACAAACGCAAUGAAUUGAAACCGAAAGGAGAUGAUGAUUGCCGUUUACGCCCGAGCAUGCUCACUGUGUGGAAGAGAUCAAGCAUGAGCUUCCAAGGCACUGAUGGGUUCACAGUGUUUGAUCAGCAAGGGAGAUUAGUUUUCCGUGUUGAUAAUUACUCGCGGAAUCAUCCUUGUGUUGCUGCUUCCGGUCUAGUGCUCAUGGACGGAGCUGGCAAUGCUCUGCUUUCUUUAAAACCCCAGGUAUAUAUACGUGUGUGUGUGUGUGUGUGUGUGUGUGUGUGUGUGUUGUGCAAAGGCUUUACAACACCGCACUUUAUGAAUCUCUGAUGAAACUUUUGUGCAUGGCUAUGGACAGAUACUGAGCAUGCAAAACCAGUGGAACGCGUACAGGGAAGAGGAUGGAUGUGGAAAGAGCAGUCCGAGGUGUAAAGUAUUUUCGAUGAGGAGCUCAUCGAUGGCGUUCUUCGGUGGCGGCAAGGAUAAGGCGGAGGUGUUCAUGGGGUCAGCAUCAGGACGAGGUAGACAACAAAGGGGGACGACGCCGGAUUUCAGGAUUGAGGUUCUUUCAGGAAUCGAAACUGCAAGAUAAGUAAUGCGGAAGGACAAGUCGUGGCCAAGAUUGCGAGGAAGAGAGUCAUGAACUCUACCGUAAUGCUAAGCGACGACGUUUUUAGCUUAGUUAUACAAC